rnacentral:tRNA from 1 species
CAGAGAAUAGUUUUUUAAAAAAUUUUAAUUUUGGAGAUUAAAGAUAAGGGAUAUUCCUUUUCUCUGA